CCGGGAUCUCAUCAGGCCCGGUCGCUCGACCCCUACUCAUCCUACGCAAAGCCCCCAUGACCUCCUCCGCCCUAAUGCGCCUGCAAUACCCAAGGUCAAUAUGUUGCUCUGAAUGCCCCAACUCCCCUAGCUCUAUGUUACGAUCCCCUUCAUCGUUAAGUAGGUCUCGAAAGUACGCCUUUCUCUGCUUGACUUGAGACUCCCCCAUCAGAACUCUACCAUCCACGCCCUUGAUGCACCUAACUUGGUCAAGAUCACGCGCCUUCCUUUCCCUUGCUUUAGCUAACCGGAAUAACUUCCUGUCCCCGCCCCUCUCCCCUAGUU
rnacentral:lncRNA from 1 species